rnacentral:lncRNA from 1 species
AUCUUUAACGUUUUAGAUCUUAGUAUGCAGGUCCCUGGCACUGUGGUUUAGUGGACGGAUGUGGGAGGGGCAUUUUUGUUGGACUAGAGUUCAAAACCAUUCAGCAGCUCCGCAGUCUACGUCAGGGUGCUUAACUCCAUGACCUGCCGCUUCUUCAUCUGUGAGAUGCCAGGAGGAAAAGCCACCGAAUAAUGCAGAGAGAACUGAAUGUUUUUGGGGGACAUAUUGGAAUCCUUUAAAUGGAGAAACAACUACCUACGUGGGAGCCUGAGAGGGAUCUUACCUCCUGGGAAUCGAGGGUACCCAAGCACGUGGCACAGACUUCAAGAAUAAACACCGGCUUUGAGUAACAGCCUCGAGCAAAAUGCAUCGGAAAGAAUAGAAAUGCCAGUGAAGCAAGAUACUUCAUGAAUUGUGUGAUUUUUCUUUUGAUCGGUUCCGGUCCUUAAUAAAUGCUUUACUCUUCUUCUUUUUCCA